rnacentral:rRNA from 1 species
UACGUAGGGUGCGAGCGUUGUCCGGAAUUAUUGGGCGUAAAGAGCUCGUAGGCGGCUUGUCGCGUCGGAUGUGAAAGCCCGGGGCUUAACUCCGGGUCUGCAUUCGAUACGGGCAGGCUAGAGUUCGGUAGGGGAGAUCGGAAUUCCUGGUGUAGCGGUGAAAUGCGCAGAUAUCAGGAGGAACACCGGUGGCGAAGGCGGAUCUCUGGGCCGAUACUGACGCUGAGAAGCGAAAGCAUGGGGAGCGAACAGG